GAGAGAUGCAAACCAAAGGAAAUAGAGAGUAAAUGAUAUAGAAUGGGAAACAUGAUACAGAAGCGUUUUGUUGUUUUUCUUUUAUUUAUUUGCUUAGCAAAACAUUGUACCUCAUCCCCAUCCCCAUCCCAACCCCAACCCAACUUUCACAACGAACCCCAAAUUCCAACUGGGAUUAACAUUUUGUGUUGAUACAUGGAGCCUGUCAUGGAGCAUGGAGUUGGUAUAAGGUGGCGACUCUCCUGAAGGACUCGGGUCACAAUGUCACAGCUCUAGACUUGGGAGUAUCAGGGAUCAAACCGAUCCAGGUACAGCAACUCCCUUCGUUAUCGGAAUACGUCAAACCUUUGACGGAGUUCAUGGUGUCACUAACACCAGAGGAGAAGGUAAUCCUUGUAGCUCACAGCUUGGGUGGAGCCAUAAUAUCUAUUUUCAAGGAGAGGUAAGUGCAGAGGUUACCAAAGGAUUGGACUUUAUUGUCAGAUAUGAUAACGGGACCAACAACCCCGCAACCUCCGCUAUGUUUAGGCCUAAGUUCUUGGCAACCAACUUGUACCAGCUCUCACCACCACAAGAUUUAACUCUAGGAUUAUCGUUGGUGAGAUUUACUCCUCUAUACGAUUAUGAUGUAAUAAAGCUCACGACAGAGAAAUACGAAUCAGUUCCUAGAGUAUUCAUCGUGUCCGACCAAGACCAUACAAUAGUGUCGGAUGUGCAAAAUUACAUGAUUAAAACAAUCCGCCAAAAGAAGUGAAAGUGAUAAGCGGUUCUGAUCACAUGGUCAUGUUCUCUAAACCCAUGGAGUUGUUCUCCCAUCUCCAAAAUAUUGCUGAGAAAUGUUCAUGAACAUGCAUGCAUGGUUAAUUCAGCCAUUCUAGUUUGCGCCGCAUGCACCAUAAUACUAUAUAUAAUGUAUGUAUGAAUAAUUAAAUUAAUAAACUAAACAAAGUUGCUAUUUUCAACCCC